rnacentral:rRNA from 1 species
UACAGAGGGUGCGAGCGUUAAUCGGAAUUACUGGGCGUAAAGCGCGCGUAGGCGGCUUUGCAAGUCGGGUGUGAAAUCCCAGGCUUAACCUGGGAACUGCAUUCGAGACUGCAUUGCUAGAGUAUGGGAGAGGGAAGUGGAAUUUCCGGUGUAGCGGUGAAAUGCGUAGAUAUCGGAAGGAACAUCAGUGGCGAAAGCGACUCCUGGACCAAUACUGACGCUCAUGUGCGAAAGCGUGGGAGCAAACAGGAUUCAGAUACCCUA